rnacentral:rRNA from 1 species
UUCUGGUUGAUCCUGCCGGAGGCUACUGCUAUUGGAAUCUGAUUAAGCCAUGCGAGUUGAAAGGGUUUAGGCCCUUAGCGGACGGCUCAGUAACACGUGGAGAACCUGCCCUCAGGUGGGGGAUAAUCCCGGGAAACUGGGAAUAAUACCCCAUAGGUCUCGAUUGCUGGAAUGCUUCGAGGCUAAAAGUUCCGACGCCUGAGGAUGGCUCUGCGGCCUAUCAGGUAGUAGUGAGGGUAACGUCCUCACUAGCCAAUGACGGGUACGGGCGUUGAGAGACGGAGCCCGGAGAUGGACUCUGAGACACGAGUCCAGGCCCUACGGGGCGCAGCAGGCGCGAAACCUCCGCAAUGCUCGAAAGAGUGACGGGGGGAUUCCAAGUGCCUACGCUCAGCGUAGGCUGUUCAGAUGCCUAAAAAGCAUCUGGAGGAAGGACUGGGUAAGACGGGUGCCAGCCGCCGCGGUAA